AAAGCUGGGAAAGAACAGCUUUUCUGUAUGUGUUGCAUUUGAGGCUAUUCAAAGUGAUCUCCAGCUCUUGUUCAUAGCUUGCUUUAAGUCAGUUCUGCAUGUUUCUCAUGUGAUAAAGAAUGAAACUUAUCCUGAUUACUGCAGUAAGUUUGCUUCUUCACCAGCUGGGAUAUUUCUUUAUGAGGAAAGCUACAGUACAGGAGGGAUCUGUAUGCAGAUGGCAGUGAGCCAAAGGUGACACAGGACCCUUCAUGAUCUGUGUGGUCUGGGGCUAUUUUGAACUGUCAGUACCAGCAAGGCAGUGACAUCUCUGAAGAAGCCUUGUGCAGAGCAGCAGGGUUGGAGCCCAGGAUGCCCAAUGGGACACAGAAGGCUUUUCCUGAACAUAGGAGUAGCCUUAGCAAGCAAGAUGGCACACGGGAGUGAAUCCACAAAAAGGAGUCCUCAGCAUAUGGUCACUUCUGCAGCAGCAAUGAGACUUGAGGCAGGAUGGCACAGAAGCAUCACUGAGUUCGUGCCAACCUCUGAGAAGUCCAUCAGCAAGGUUGAGGUUCCUGGCGUGCUCACAAAGCCUCAGAAAGACAAUCUCCCUGGCAGCUAACCCAGGCUGCUGGGAAGAGCAACAGCCCUUGCUAGGAGCCACCUCUGAGCAAGGAGUCUGUAAUGGGAUCCCCAAGUGGAGGGAAAGCCACCUGGCUGCUGCACAGACAUCUGUGCAGAAGGGAUCCUCUGAAGAAUGGGUUGAAUGGUUUAUUUGGUGGGUGACAUGAGAGAGGAUCAGGAAGGCAGAUCUUUGGGCUCCAUCUUUGCCAUCAAGCAUGUCUGGAGGUGUCAUGCAGGUGAUAGUAUGGAGUCAGUGGAGGAAAAUCCGCACUAAGACCAAAAUGAGAACAUAAAUACACAGCCAUCUCCCACAAAGGUUUGCACUGUUCAUGUUGCCUAGGAUUCCUCAAUGAAGAGGUGGGAACUCAGCUAAAUGAGACGCUGGCUUCUCUGAUGCCUCAGCCCAGUGCCUUGAAAGGGUGCUUUGGUCCACUGCCAGAAGGCAACUGAGGAAAUGGAGAGUGAAGGCGUUGGCUUCAGCCAGUCUGUGCACAGCCUCCCUACUAUCCAUGGAGUUACUGAGUUACAGGUGUUGUUUAAGCCUUUUUUUCCCUGUCCCACAAAGUUCUGGUCUGGUAGUUCCAUUCAGUGGAACUGAUGAGCAUCCAGUGAAGGGGAUACAGUUGUGCAGCACCAUGCCUAGGAUCCCAUUGACAAAGAUGCAGAAAUAGUCAAGCCGAGAGGAUUAUGGCCUCACACUGCUUCAGGAAGGACAUCCCACAGGUGGGAA